GGGAAGCAGGUCAAUAUUCCUGCACCGUCGUUAGAUGCGAUGGGGGGACGGAUCGCGGAAGGUUGUCCGGGUGUUGGAAGUCCCGGUCGCUGCAUUGGAGAAGGCGCUUAGGCAAAUCCGGGCGCAGGAUUCAAGGGUGUGGCGCGAGCUCCUUCGGGAGCGAAGCAAUUGGAAGUGGUUCCAAGAAAAGCCUCUAAGCUUCAGUCUAACGAUGACCGUACCGCAAACCGACACAGGUGGGCGAGAUGAGUAUUCUAAGGCGCUUGAGAGAACUCGGGAGAAGGAACUCGGCAAAUUGGUACCGUAACUUCGGGAUAAGGUACGCCCUGGUAGCUUGACUGGCCUGCGCCAGAAGGGUGAAGGGGUUGCAAUAAACUGGUGGCUGCGACUGUUUAAUAAAAACACAGCACUCUGCAAACACGAAAGUGGACGUAUAGGGUGUGACGCCUGCCCGGUGCCGGAAGAUUAAAUGAUGGGGUGCAAGCUCUUGAUUGAAGUCCCGGUAAACGGCGGCCGUAACUAUAACGGUCCUAAGGUAGCGAAAUUCCUUGUCGGGUAAGUUCCGACCUGCACGAAUGGCGUAACGAUGGCCACACUGUCUCCUCCCGAGACUCAGCGAAGUUGAAGUGUUUGUGAUGAUGCAAUCUACCCGCGGCUAGACGGAAAGACCCCAUGAACCUUUACUGUAGCUUUGCAUUGGACUUUGAACCGAUCUGUGUAGGAUAGGUGGGAGGCUAUGAAACCGGAAUGCUAGUUUCGGUGGAGCCGUCCUUGAAAUACCACCCUGGUUUGUUUGAGGUUCUAACCUUGGCCCGUGAUCCGGGUCGGGGACAGUGCAUGGUAGGCAGUUUGACUGGGGCGGUCUCCUCCCAAAGCGUAACGGAGGAGUACGAAGGUACGCUAGGUACGGUCGGAAAUCGUGCUGAUAGUGCAAUGGCAUAAGCGUGCUUAACUGCGAGACCGACAAGUCGAGCAGGUGCGAAAGCAGGUCAUAGUGAUCCGGUGGUUCUGUAUGGAAGGGCCAUCGCUCAACGGAUAAAAGGUACUCUGGGGAUAACAGGCUGAUACCGCCCAAGAGUUCAUAUCGACGGCGGUGUUUGGCACCUCGAUGUCGGCUCAUCUCAUCCUGGGGCUGUAGCCGGUCCCAAGGGUAUGGCUGUUCGCCAUUUAAAGAGGUACGUGAGCUGGGUUUAAAACGUCGUGAGACAGUUUGGUCCCUAUCUGCCGUGGGCGUUGGAAGUUUGAAGGGGGCUGCUCCUAGUACGAGAGGACCGGAGUGGACGAACCUCUGGUGUACCGGUUGUGACGCCAGUCGCAUCGCCGGGUAGCUAUGUUCGGAAGAGAUAACCGCUGAAAGCAUCUAAGCGGGAAACUCGCCUUAAGAUGAGACUUCCCCGGGGACUUGAUCCCCUUGAAGGGUCGUUCGAGACCAGGACGUUGAUAGGUCGGGUGUGUAAGCGCAGUAAUGCGUUCAGCUAACCGAUACUAAUUGCCCGUACGGCUUGAUC
rnacentral:rRNA from 1 species